AUCAGCUGCUGCACCGAGCCCGAGCUCUGUUCUAUUUCUGUACAGAGUUUAAGGGUUUCAUUUAUAACCAUUCCCACUGGGAGAGAUCCAUGGAUUCAUACAAGUGCAAAUUUACAAAAGAGUAUUCCUGCGUCCGUCCGCCCCCACCACGACAUCAAAAUCAAAGUUAGCCACGGGGUGAUCAGCCGGUCGGAUUGCAGCCCUCCACCCAAGCCCUGGGAGACAGAGAUGAGGACAGAUAUAGAGAAAUUAAAUACUGCAGGAGGAGAAGUCCCUUGCUGUCUGACCAGCCUGGAAGCAGAGCGCCAAACUACAGAAUGGGAGAGUAAACACAGAUCUUCCAGUAAGCUACGCAGGAUCUGUGUAACAAACUGACAGAUGCAGCUUUACACAUUAUUAAACUUUUCAGCCUCAUUCUACUUCACGUCCCAGUUUUAUUGUUUCCAGCUGCUCAAAUCUCCUCAUCUUCCCAAAGCUUGCAGAUCAUAAAACAACUGUCAGUGGGUGAAAAUAAAAGCGCUGUUAAUCUAUUGU